CGCGAAUCAUCGAGUUUUUGAACGCAAGUUGCGCCCGAGGCUUGUCCAAGGGCAUUUCCGCUAGAGCGUCACC
rnacentral:rRNA from 1 species